rnacentral:rRNA from 1 species
GCUUGUCUCAAAGAUUAAGCCAUGCAUGUCUAAGUAUAAGCCUUUAUAUGGUGAGACUGCGAAUGGCUCAUUAAAUCAGAAACUGUUUAUUUGAUAGUGCCUACUACAUGGAUACCUGUAGUAAUUCUAGAGCUAAUACAUGCAAAGAACCCGACUUACGGAGGGUUGUAUUUAUUAGAUAAAAACCAAUGCCUCGUGCUUUUGGUGAGUCAUGAUAACUGCGCGGAUCGCAUGGCCUUGCGCCGGCGACGCUUCAUUCAAAUUUCUGCCCUAUCAACUUUCGAUGGUAAGAUAGAGGCUUACCAUGGUGUUAACGGGUAACGGGGAAUUGGGGUUCGAUUCCGGAGAGGGAGCCUGAGAAAUGGCUACCACUUCCAAGGAAGGCAGCAGG